rnacentral:rRNA from 1 species
UACGGAGGGUGCAAGCGUUGUCCGGAAUCACUGGGCGUAAAGGGCGCGUAGGCGGCCAGGUAAGUAGGGGGUGAAAUCCUGCGGCUUAACCGCAGGGCUGCCUUCUAAACUGUCGGGCUCGAGCACGGUAGAGGCAGAUGGAAUUCCCGGUGUAGCGGUGGAAUGCGUAGAGAUCGGGAAGAACAUCAGUGGCGAAGGCGGUCUGCUGGGCCGUUGCUGACGCUGAGGCGCGACAGCGUGGGGAGCAAACAGG